rnacentral:rRNA from 1 species
UUAAGCGACUAAGCGUACACGGUGGAUGCCCUGGCAGUCAGAGGCGAUGAAGGACGUGCUAAUCUGCGAUAAGCGUCGGUAAGGUGAUAUGAACCGUUAUAACCGGCGAUUUCCGAAUGGGGAAACCCAGUGUGUUUCGACACACUAUCAUUAACUGAAUCCAUAGGUUAAUGAGGCGAACCGGGGGAACUGAAACAUCUAAGUACCCCGAGGAAAAGAAAUCAACCGAGAUUCCCCCAGUAGCGGCGAGCGAACGGGGAGCAGCCCAGAGCCUGAAUCAGUGUGUGUGUUAGUGGAAGCGUCUGGAAAGGCGCGCGAUACAGGGUGACAGCCCCGUACACAAAAAUGCACAUACUGUGAGCUCGAUGAGUAGGGCGGGACACGUGGUAUCCUGUCUGAAUAUGGGGGGACCAUCCUCCAAGGCUAAAUACUCCUGACUGACCGAUAGUGAACCAGUACCGUGAGGGAAAGGCGAAAAGAACCCCGGCGAGGGGAGUGAAAAAGAACCUGAAACCGUGUACGUACAAGCAGUGGGAGCACAGAGCAAUCUGUGUGACUGCGUACCUUUUGUAUAAUGGGUCAGCGACUUAUAUUCUGUAGCAAGGUUAACCGAAUAGGGGAGCCGAAGGGAAACCGAGUCUUAACUGGGCGUUAAGUUGCAGGGUAUAGACCCGAAACCCGGUGAUCUAGCCAUGGGCAGGUUGAAGGUUGGGUAACACUAACUGGAGGACCGAACCGACUAAUGUUGAAAAAUUAGCGGAUGACUUGUGGCUGGGGGUGAAAGGCCAAUCAAACCGGGAGAUAGCUGGUUCUCCCCGAAAGCUAUUUAGGUAGCGCCUCGUGAAUUCAUCUCCGGGGGUAGAGCACUGUUUCGGCAAGGGGGUCAUCCCGACUUACCAACCCGAUGCAAACUGCGAAUACCGGAGAAUGUUAUCACGGGAGACACACGGCGGGUGCUAACGUCCGUCGUGAAGAGGGAAACAACCCAGACCGCCAGCUAAGGUCCCAAAGUCAUGGUUAAGUGGGAAACGAUGUGGGAAGGCCCAGACAGCCAGGAUGUUGGCUUAGAAGCAGCCAUCAUUUAAAGAAAGCGUAAUAGCUCACUGGUCGAGUCGGCCUGCGCGGAAGAUGUAACGGGGCUAAACCAUGCACCGAAGCUGCGGCAGCGACACUAUGUGUUGUUGGGUAGGGGAGCGUUCUGUAAGCCUGUGAAGGUGUACUGUGAGGUAUGCUGGAGGUAUCAGAAGUGCGAAUGCUGACAUAAGUAACGAUAAAGCGGGUGAAAAGCCCGCUCGCCGGAAGACCAAGGGUUCCUGUCCAACGUUAAUCGGGGCAGGGUGAGUCGACCCCUAAGGCGAGGCCGAAAGGCGUAGUCGAUGGGAAACAGGUUAAUAUUCCUGUACUUGGUGUUACUGCGAAGGGGGGACGGAGAAGGCUAUGUUGGCCGGGCGACGGUUGUCCCGGUUUAAGCGUGUAGGCUGGUUUUCCAGGCAAAUCCGGAAAAUCAAGGCUGAGGCGUGAUGACGAGGCACUACGGUGCUGAAGCAACAAAUGCCCUGCUUCCAGGAAAAGCCUCUAAGCAUCAGGUAACAUCAAAUCGUACCCCAAACCGACACAGGUGGUCAGGUAGAGAAUACCAAGGCGCUUGAGAGAACUCGGGUGAAGGAACUAGGCAAAAUGGUGCCGUAACUUCGGGAGAAGGCACGCUGAUAUGUAGGUGAAGCGACUUGCUCGUGGAGCUGAAAUCAGUCGAAGAUACCAGCUGGCUGCAACUGUUUAUUAAAAACACAGCACUGUGCAAACACGAAAGUGGACGUAUACGGUGUGACGCCUGCCCGGUGCCGGAAGGUUAAUUGAUGGGGUUAGCGGUAACGCGAAGCUCUUGAUCGAAGCCCCGGUAAACGGCGGCCGUAACUAUAACGGUCCUAAGGUAGCGAAAUUCCUUGUCGGGUAAGUUCCGACCUGCACGAAUGGCGUAAUGAUGGCCAGGCUGUCUCCACCCGAGACUCAGUGAAAUUGAACUCGCUGUGAAGAUGCAGUGUACCCGCGGCAAGACGGAAAGACCCCGUGAACCUUUACUAUAGCUUGACACUGAACAUUGAGCCUUGAUGUGUAGGAUAGGUGGGAGGCUUAGAAGUGUGGACGCCAGUCUGCAUGGAGCCGACCUUGAAAUACCACCCUUUAAUGUUUGAUGUUCUAACGUUGGCCCCUGAUCGGGGUUGCGGACAGUGUCUGGUGGGUAGUUUGACUGGGGCGGUCUCCUCCUAAAGAGUAACGGAGGAGCACGAAGGUUGGCUAAUCCUGGUCGGACAUCAGGAGGUUAGUGCAAUGGCAUAAGCCAGCUUGACUGCGAGCGUGACGGCGCGAGCAGGUGCGAAAGCAGGUCAUAGUGAUCCGGUGGUUCUGAAUGGAAGGGCCAUCGCUCAACGGAUAAAAGGUACUCCGGGGAUAACAGGCUGAUACCGCCCAAGAGUUCAUAUCGACGGCGGUGUUUGGCACCUCGAUGUCGGCUCAUCACAUCCUGGGGCUGAAGUAGGUCCCAAGGGUAUGGCUGUUCGCCAUUUAAAGUGGUACGCGAGCUGGGUUUAGAACGUCGUGAGACAGUUCGGUCCCUAUCUGCCGUGGGCGCUGGAGAACUGAGGGGGGCUGCUCCUAGUACGAGAGGACCGGAGUGGACGCAUCACUGGUGUUCGGGUUGUCAUGCCAAUGGCACUGCCCGGUAGCUAAAUGCGGAAGAGAUAAGUGCUGAAAGCAUCUAAGCACGAAACUUGCCCCGAGAUGAGUUCUCCCUGACUCCUUGAGAGUCCUGAAGGAACGUUGAAGACGACGACGUUGAUAGGCCGGGUGUGUAAGCGCAGCGAUGCGUUGAGCUAACCGGUACUAAUGAACCGUGAGGCUUAACCUU